rnacentral:rRNA from 1 species
UAGGGAAUAUUGCACAAUGGGCGAAAGCCUGAUGCAGCAACGCCGCGUGCGCGAUGAAGGCCUUCGGGUCGUAAAGCGCUUUUUGAGGAGAUGAGGAAGGACAGUAUCCUCAGAAUAAGAUUCGGCUAACUACGUGCCAGCAGCCGCGGUAACACGUAGGAAUCGAGCGUUAUCCGAAUUUACUGGGCGUAAAGCGCGUGCAGGCGGUUCGGUAAGUUGGAUGUGAAAGCUCCCGGCUCAACUGGGAGAGGCCGUUCAAAACUACCAGACUUGAGGACGGUAGAGGAAGGUGGAAUUCCCGGUGUAGUAGUGAAAUGCGUAGAUAUCGGGAGGAACACCAGUGGCGAAAGCGGCCUUCUGGACCGUUUCUGACGCUAAGACGCGAAAGCGUAGGGGAGCGGAACGGGAUUAGAAACCCCGGUAGUCCUAGCCGUAAACGAUGUAGACUGGGCGUCGGUGGGUAAAACGCAGUCGGUGCCGAAGCUAACGCGAUAAGUCCUACCGCCGU